rnacentral:lncRNA from 1 species
AUGCUAAUAGUAGCUAGCAUGAUGAGACCAAAGAGAACCUGUUGUGUCGGUGUAUGUCGUGCUUGUGGGGAAAACAUUUCCAAUAGAAUAUACGUGCACAAUCUCUUCAGUCAGUUCGAAGGUCAAUGUUUGAAACCAUUUGACUACACCACAGCAUUGGAGGACCUCACUGGACCAAUUUCUCAGGACGAUGCCUUACCACAGAUCAUUUGCGAAACGUGUCGUAAACUUCUCAAAAGGUACUACAAAAGCUUUUGCGAUGUGGAGAAAAUUGGCAGUAUAUUUCGAGAAAGUGCUCAGAAGCAGAGGGAGAGUCACUCUCUUGCAUGGCGAACUCGGGACGCCCAACAAGGUGAGAUUAGUAUCACCCCUUUUCCCCACGAGAGAAUGGCAGACGCGUGUAAGGUUACCCCGCGAGAUUUGACCGUAACGUUAGUAGUUGUGCCAAAGAGCGAGAACACAGGUGAAGAAGCCACGCCACAUCCCAACAACGAUAACAUCAAACCUGAGCCUGCAGAAAUCUCAGUAUACCUGGAAGAAGAUAUGGAGCAGGAUCCACAGUCUGGCGAUGAUGAUGCUGCUUCUUCGAAGCUAAACCAGGUGAGUGUGCCAACUAAAUACAUCCUUACUGGACCCAUGGAGAAACUUGUGGAUAACAUGUUGAAUGGACAAUUCUUCAGCGCAGCAAAGGCAAUAAUGGAAAUUCCUGAUUUGGCUUCCCUUGUCACUAAAGAGGUUUUGAACCAAGUCGUCAAAGAAUGCAAAGAGCUCACUAGCGUUCCAUUCAACUCCAUACUUCGACAGACCAGUCCAUCCUCUCUGGAAGCCUUCAGAUGGGACACUGUUUUUACUGAAUGGAAGACAACCGCACCCACGUUCCUUGGGUUUCUGGAGUCCGCAAGCACAUCUACAUGGGUUUCUGCCCUGACCAAAGAACGUACACAGAGAAAGAACUUCGCCAUAGGCAUGGCUGGAGCCACUCUUCUCAAGGUACGUUGCGGCAGGAUGAGUGCACCCAUGUAUCGGAACUCGCUUAUCAUGCACCAGGCUCAGAAGAAAAAGUGCUUCAAUAGGUUUGCCAGACUUGGUGUCUGUGUUACAAAGCAAAGCAUGCUUCAUCUGUUGAGAAGAGUGAGGGCAUCGGAAGAAGUAACCAGGACUCCCUCUGCAGGUGAAGACCACAACUACGACUCAGUAGCGCCAAGAAGAUCCACAGAAAAUACUGACAGACAGGUGUGUAAUAUUUGUUUCUAUCAUGGGUUUGAGUCAAUUCCAAUUAAAUUUCAGUCAAUUCGGGAACUAGGCCUAGACUGAAAUUCCAAUUGUCUUCAGUGCUUUUCUAGGCUGAACAAUUGGAAUUGCAAUUUGAUUUACUUUCUGAAUCGACAAGGAAUUGCCCCCAACCUCGCUUGUUUAUAGUGUCUCCAGCAGGUGUUCACACCUUGACUUUUUCCACAUUUUGUUGCUACAAAGUGGGAUUAAAAUUGAUUUAAAUGUCAUUUUUGUCAAUGAUCUACACAAAAUACUCCAAUGUCAAAGUGGAAGAAAACUUCUAACAUUUGUAAAAC